GAUGAAGAACGCAGCGAAACGCGAUAGGUAUUGUGAAUUGCAGAAUUCCGUGAAUCAUCGAAUCUUUGAACGCAUAUUGCGCCUUCCGGUAUUCCGGGAGGCAUGCCUGUUUGAGCGUCAGUUUGCACUCACAAGUGUUAACUUGUGUUGACAUUCUGUGGUUAUGAAUUGUGAGUAGUGCUAGUUGCUGCUCUAAUUUGGAAAAGAUCGGCCACAUAGCUGGCUACUGUUUGAUUAGUGUGAUAGGUUAUACCAACUCGCUAUAAAAUCAGAGUCUAAUUUUAGCUAAUCGUGCCUUAAACCAACUCCUCAUCAAUUUGAGAAGUAUUUUUGAAUCUUUUGACCUCAAAUCAGGUAGGGAUACCCGCUGAACUUAAGCAUAUCAAUAAGCGGAGGA
rnacentral:misc_RNA from 1 species